UCGCUUAAUCUCUGGGAUAUUCCAGGGAACGGGGGAACCAACAAGUGCUUGCUGCGUGAUGAUCAAUGCGGCUUGCGCGACGUCUGAAGGGCCAGGGCUGGUGUGAGAGCCAACACAGGCCCAUUCGGACAGGGGUGAAUCCUGAGGAAGAGACCAUGGACUCUUCUCGGGUAGGGCGACUCUCACCGCCCGAAUCCGUCAGCUAACUCCGUCAGCGUGGGUAUGAGAGA
rnacentral:sRNA from 1 species